AGCGCAACUUUCCGCCUGGUCUCUUAGCGACCAGGCCCAGCCGCGGGGCCCGCCCGCCCCCCUCUUCGCACAUGCGCAGAGUGCGGGCGGGGAGGGGGCGUCUCCGCCCGCGAGGUUCGGCGUCCCUGUGUCCCUCAGCGCCGGUGUGACCGUGGACCGCCAGGGACUGGAGCGUCCCGUGGGGCUGGAGGAAAGAGCGAGAUGACGAUUUGCAUUGAUGGCUUGCAGGAUCAUAAACAAAAGAAGGCACGUGGGGCUGCAACAACUUUCAUCACUUGCAGAAACAGGAAGAACUUUCCUGGGCCCCGUAAAAUCAUCCAAAUUUGUUAUAGAUGAGGAGUGUCAUGAAAGUGUGUUAGUCAGUUCGGCAGUAAGGCUUCUGGAAAGUUUGGAUUUAUCCAGUGCGGUGGGACAGCUUCUCAAUGAAGCCGUGCAGGCGCAGAAUAACGUGCAUAGAACUGGGACCAGCACUCUCCUAUUCCUCGUCGGGGCCUGGAGCAGAGCUGCUGAGGAGUGUCUUCACCUGGGUGUCCCCACUUCAUUAAUAGUGUCGGUAAUGUCAGAAGGCUUGGACUCUUGCAUUGAAGCGGUCAGGUCCCUUCAGGUGCCUGUCCACAAUGUGUUUGACGACGUGGACAGCACAAAGACAUUUUCUGGACUUGAAUCAUCGAGUGGCAGUUCGUGUCCUUUUCUACAAAUCCCUUUAGAUGCCGGUUUGAUACAGAAAGAGCAUGAGGUCCGAGAGGUCGCCUCUCAGUCAGGGACCAUUUACAAUCUUUCUGGGAAGCCUGUUAAAACAGCGGAACUUUUUAGAACUCAGGCUAAGGCCGAAGCAGGUAAAAACACGUCACCGACCCCUCAAACUCUGAGAAGCAGUCUGCUCGCAGACACCCGCUGCAGAAAGUCGGUGCUGACCCACAGCAGGCAUUUUAAUAAGAUGGAUCAUAAUGAAAGGCUGAGCAAACCGGGCAGAUUUCCAGAAGGACAUGGUGCGGCCGCUCGGCCAGCUUGCAGCUGCGGUGAUCUGGUGGCGUUGGAGGCAGGUCUGAGCCACGGCGAUCACGACAGCAUGGGAUUCGUCAGCGAAGCUCUGCGGCUGCAAUGCCAGCGGGCAAGCGGGUCACACCAGGGCGACUGCACGCCCGUGCUCGGGUUCGACAUUUCACGGGUCUUCACCUGCUGCUUACCAGGUUUACCCGAAGCUUUUUCUUGUGUCCACCCCGGAUACGUCACUGCCGUGUCAGUGCCCAGUACCAGUCUGAUCCAGGAAUUACAGAAUCAGCCCCUCCGGGUGGUUCUCAUUGAGGGCGACCUCACCGAGAGUUACCGCCACCUGGGCUUUAAUAAGUCUGCAAAUAUCAAAAUGGAAAGCAUGAAGGUCCAACAGGACAGCUCAGAAGAACUGUGGACAAAUCACGUAUUACAGGUAUUGAUCAAGUUCAAUGUGAGCCUCGUCCUGGCACAAGGAGGUGUAUCCGAGCGCUUAAUUGAGAAAUGCACACACACGAAGCGGCUGGUGAUCGGGUCGGUGAGUGGUGACGUGAUACAGGCCUUCGCGGAGGCUUCUGGAGCAGUACAAGUGACCUACAUUACACAAGUGGCGGAAGACUGCGUGGGCAGUGGAGUCCGUGUGGCCUUCUGGAGAAGCGUCCCCUCGAGUGGAGAUGGCGUUGGCAGAAUGGCAGUCAUGUUGGAGACAGAAGGAAUUCAUUUGGUUACAGUGGUGCUCACGGGCCCAGUCACUGCACAGACGCAAAGCAAAGAAGAUCGGUUCUGGACCUGUGCCUACCGUCUACACUGUGCUCUCAAAGAGCAAAAGGUCCUUCUGGGAGGGGGUGCAGCGGAACUGCUGUGUCUCAGCCAUCUUCAAAGUCUCGCAGGGCGCCCCGUGAAUGAAGGAAGCCUCGUCUGCUCGGGAGGGCUUCCUAACGCUUCCUCUUGGCUGGCCUCUUCCCUGGCACUCUACAGACCGACUGUGCUUAAAUGCCUGGCGGGCGGCUGGCACAGAUACCUUUCAACUCUCAUGUGCAACACUGCCAGUUCCGCAUCAGAAUUUGAAGCCAGCACGUUCAUUCAGCACCACCUACAGAAUGCCACAGACUCCGGCUCGCCUUCAUCUUACAUCUUGAGUGAAUACGAUAAACUAAAGAGUGGAAUUUUUAAUUCGGACAUUUCAAACAAACUGGACCAGAUUCCAAGAGUUUAUGACGUUGUUACACCAAAGAUUGAGGCGUGGCGCCGAGCUUUAGAUUUAGUGCUGUUAGUACUUCAGACAGACAGUGAAAUCAUCACUGGACUUGGACACACGCAGAUAAAAUCACAGGAGGCAGAGGGCCUUUUGUUUUUGUAGUGCGAUUGGCUAAGUCUUUGGGAAAUAAUCUUUGGUAAUAUAGCAUGCUAAUAAGUUUUCUAAUGGCCAAGUCCCGAUGCCUAGAAUGCUAGCUAGCUGUCACCAAGAAGAGAGGAUUGAUGUCUGUCACAACUGUGCAGGGCGGAGGCUUCACAGGUCCGCCUGUUACUGUUCUAUGGGAUGCUGCAGUGUGCAGGAGACACUUCGGCCAGAGACAAAGGACUUUUAUUAUCCACAGCAAACGCAGCAACCAGAGCUUCAAGUUGGUUUGUGUCAGUCCCUCGUCCGUGUAAAUCCCGCAAGAGCACCACGAAGGGCUGAUGAGGGCAGCCUGCACACGUCGUGGGUUGUGUCACAGGAGAGAAACUGUCCUUGGCAAACAGGGUUCUGGACUUUGAGUUUAUCAUCCGCUCCGACUGACUGCCACAGUCAGGUAGAUAACGGCCAGUCAGGACCUUUGGGACAGGCUUCUAACUUGUCGACCACCAGAACGUCAUCUAUACGGUAGCCCCGCUUAUCCGCGGGGGAUAAGACCCCCAGUGAACCCCUGAAACCACAGAUAGUACUGAGCCCUAUAUGUGAUUUUUCCUUAAAGCAGCCGCGGUCAGAAUAGAGGGGGGAGGAGGUAUGAGGGGUGUAGAGGGACAGACCCCCUCACGCCGGUGAGCGACGCUUUGCAUUUACUUUCGGCUUUGGUCAGCUGCCCUGCUUGUGCUCAGCAUACCUGUCUCUUCAGUCUGCGCAGAGUUCUCCUCCCUCUUUCUGACAGCCUUUGCUUCAGCUCCGUGGACCCCUUGGCCUAGGAGCCACGGUCGAGUUUCUUCUCCGCUGGGGCCCUGGGCCUUGCUGCCUUGUCAUUAUGUAACACCCUCCUUCCCACCCCCGGGUGAGCGAGCACAGCCACGACGCCGGGCGAGCGGCCUGUGUUGACCCAUCUCUCACUGCUCAGCCCCAAACACUCCUUAGCAGGUGGGACAGUGGGGGCCCCGUCCCUCUUCUCUUCCCUACCAUUUGAGUGGAAGCAUUUGCUGGUGGAUCUCGGGGAAUCCUUUAUCUCUUAACUCAGCCCAUUUGGGGCCCUCAACUUUUUCAGAAAACCGUGGCUCUGUCAGCCAAAACUACCCAGAACUGCCCAGAAUCUGAGCUUUACCCUGUUCACAAGCGAGCAGGUUAGCCUGUUCACGUUUCACGGGACACUGGCAGAAGACAUGGAAUGCCUGGGUCAGAGACAUAGUAGCCAGAGCUUCAUGUUGGUUCGCGUUGGUCCCCUGUGCUCCCAAGUCCCACAGGGGUGACAGAGCCCAGAUGAAUGCCUGCACACAUGGCAGGUUGUGUUACAGGAGAGGAACACUGAGCUUGGGCGAGUCACAACUUUUAUCGUCAGCGGACGUAAGCCUUUUGUCACAUUAUCAUCCAAGCCCACCCCCAGCAACACAUCCCUGAGAACCGGCUGGACGAAGAGCGCUCAGUCCCCGGCAGGAGCGUGCGGGCGCCCGGCCCAGCACAGUCCGCUGCUGCUGACAGCUGAGCAUCAUGAGGACUGAAGUGUGAAAAAUUCCCAGGUCGUGUCUGUGGUCAUGCAGUGGAUCUGGAGAACACUCUGGAAACAGAAGCUACUCUUCGGUCGCGAGGAGGACGCCUUGUUAAGAGCGGAGGCUGUCAGAGCAGCGGGACCGGUCGGAAUUCACUCCAAGGGCGCAAGGCCACCCGACUCUGGCUUCUAACAGAACAUUCGUACUUAUCAACAUGCAGAGUCCUAACUAUCAUACUCUAACGUGUAGUAAAGUCUACUUCAGGCUGUUUUGAGGUUUCCUUCUCUGAAUUUUUUUCCUUUUCCAUUUUGUUUGCCAUUUUUCUUGGCAAUCGCCUUUUUAAAAAUUUCCAGUGUGUUUAUCUGGUGAUGUGAAGAACACUCUUUGUACACUGUCCAUUACGAAUGAAAGGCAAAUUGGGAGUUUCACAGUUUGUUGACAGUAUUGAGACUGGUUUGAUGUCUAAAAAAAGGAGACCGGUUUCCUGUUACCCUCAGAGAAGGAGGUGGAAAAGGCUGCUUCCCAGUAGGUUCCGCUCUGGACCGUCAGCACACGAGAAGGAAUGGGCAGAUGUGUGGACUUCCCCUCAUCACUCUCACUAAAUAUGCUUUAAAAUCAUUUCUUUUUAACAUAUUACAAAUGUUUUAAGUUAGCGUGUGUGUUUUCUUGUUUAAAAGCAGUAUAAACCCCUGUUGACAAAGCCGUUUAUUUUCUUAGGAGUAAUUAUUGGUGCCCUGCAGUAUCUCUAAAACUGCCUUAGGAGAAGCACAUGGGCCACUUGUCAAAUGCCGACUCCCAGCCCCACCUCAGGUUACCGUUUGUAGUAGCUCUUAACCCUGGCCACACAAGAGAAUCAUCUGGAGAACCUUUAAAACUGCCAGUGCUCCAACCUACUGCAACCCCCAGAUUGCCAUUGAUCUAUCUGGGAUGAGGCCCACGUAUCAGUGUUUAACUCCCCGUGGAUUCUGCUGGUGUGUAAGCAGCAUCGAAAUCACCAGUCUUGUGUGUGGAACCAAACUUAAUUAGAAAAGCCUGUACUUUACUCCUUAGGCCCUAUUCAAAAAAUGUUGGCUUCCGAACAUGCGACGGUCACAUGACUCUUACAAGCAUAAGGCUGAGCGAGAGAAGCCAGAAACAAAAGAGGACAGACGUACCGAUGGGCCUGACCCCGAGCAGGUACAGGGUCUUGGGGGAGGACGGGUGAAAAUGGUCCGGGGUGAGAUAAAGCGGAUGGUUGCACAACACAGUGUGGUGCAAACCGUGGGCGCAUACGCUGCGAAGUGGAGAAUUUUAUGUUGUGCGGCGGAUAUCUCGACUUUUCAAAUGCCACUGAGACAGAGAAGAUGCGGUUUAACCAUUUUUUGUGAAUUCUAGAAACAGAGACUCACCAUUGAUAGAAGCCGGGUCAGCACUUAGCCUCGGGGCAGCGAUGGCAGGGUUCUUGUUCCCAGGGCGGAUUCCCCACGGGCUCAUUCAUUGUUGAGCAUAAUAUUCAUGAUCUGUGCUUCGGGAAAACUAAGUUGUCAAGAGAAGAUUAAAAGAUAUUCAGGCUCCUGCACUUGAGAAUGCAGGAAAGAAUCUAUCUUAACCUAUAAUAAAAGCAACUCUAAUGAGACAGGAAGGUAAUGUUAGACAGUAGAGGUCGUGUACUAUUGGGAUUGUUUACCAAAGACGCCCGUAGAAUCUGCCCUCGGGAUCCGCCGAAGGAAGACUAGCCCGGCUGUAAGAUCAGGUCUGUUUUGGAAUGCUAUCUUGUAGUAACUGGCCAGAUAAUGUUUUGAGACUUAAUCCAGUUCUUUGGGUCUACAUUUAAUUUAUAUUUACUUUUUAUUCUAGGAAAUAAAAAGACAAAAGAAAAACUAAGAGAAUCUCAGGUUCUUGUAUCAGGAUUCUUGCCAGAGAGAAUUAGCUAAUUCAUAUAUUAUUUUAGUCAUAGCAAACCUUAUUAUAAUCUGUUUCACCAGUCAUCAAAGUGAAUUUCCUAAGCUCGACUUAAUUUUCUUUUAUAUUGUUGCCAAUAAAUUUUUAUUAAUUGCCAUUAAUAUGCUGGUCAUCGUAGACCCCUUCCUUUCUCCCCUCGCUUCUUGCUUUUCCAGGCUCCAUGAAUUUAGUCGUUUCCCACUUACUUUCUUCACAAGCUCCAGGGUUUCAUCACUUUAUUACUCUUCUUAUAUUUCUGUAGCUCUACUCAUAUUUUUAAGACCUUUGGUUUCCAGAAAUGACUACAGUAUUGUGAGGUUCUGGAAAACAUCUUCUUCCUUUUGUAAUCAUGUUUGUAUGCUAAAACAACAUGUUUCGCCGUUGACCCCUCUGGUUCCAGGAUUACGUGUUUAGAAUUGAGUCAGUUUAGCAUUGCCACUGAUUUCAUAAGCUGUUUUGCAUGCAAUCUAUUCCCUUUGAAAUCUGUUCGCGCAUUUCCAGAACUCCUUAUUCCAUUAGCCACUUACAGACCAUGACUUUAUAGUCUAACAUCUAAGGCGUAUUUAUUUUACAAAGAAAACAAACAUUAUUUAAAAUUUGCUUUGUUCUUGAGAGGUCAAAGGAAUUUUUUUUAGGUUCUUUUCUCCAAUCUCUUCAUUUUAUAAAUGGGGAAACUGAGGCCUAGAGAAAUCCAUAGAGUUAAUUACUGAUAAAGCCAGUUUUCUUCCAUAAUUCUUUCUUGCUUCAUUGUAUUUAAUUUGCAUCUUUAUUCCUAAACAAUAUUUUUAACAUGUAGGCACACUGAGCCCCGUUUAAUUUCUUUAAAACUUCUAAGUAAACCAUUUAGCUCAUUUUCAUUACCAGACGUUCAAGCUAACUAGCCCAGCACCAUUUAAGACGUUGUGUUACCUCAACUCUGAGAGCUUCCUCACAGCAAAACAAACCUUUUUUGUUGUCACUGUUGGUUUUUAAUGUAUUGUUUCGUUUUUUUCCACCCUUACUGAAUUUUCCAAAUUGAACUGCUCCAAGUAAAGACCCACCCCUUCACAUCCACACACUGUUUCCUUUUCCAGGUGCACGCUGGUUAAUAACAGCCGACAGAUGCUGAGCGCCGUGUCGAUUGUCCCCAUUUUAUUGACGAGGGUCUCCUGCCGGGAACUGACCAGGGCUCUCCCAAGAGCUGGAUGCUCCCCUGCCUCGGUGCUGCCCACAGACAAGAAUCAGAGCCGAGAACACAACUGUCAGUCCCCAGCCCUCCAAGUCUUGUCCAGAAAGAAGGACUCAAAUAGUCCCCUGCUAAAUGGAGCAAGGAGUCAGGAAAAAUUUCGUCAUCAAUCUGGGGCUAAUUCUGUUACUCAAAAUGACAGAUUUUGAUGAAAGGAAAGCUGAAUAAAAAUUUUAAAAAAGAACAUAGCAUGCAAAAGACUCUUGAAAAAUGUAUACUGGAAGAAGACUAUCCAGGAUACAAUUUCAGUUAAACAAGACCAGCGUCCUGGUUCAGGCUGCUGUAACAGAAUCCCAUAGACUGGGUGGCAUGUAAGCAACAGAACCACACGUCUCACAGUUCUAGAGGCCGGGAAGGCCACGAGCAAGGCGCUGGCACAUCUGUCGUCUGGUGAGAGCUUGCCGCUGGGUGCAUAGAUGACCAUCUCGCCGUGUCUUCACAUGGUGAAGGGGACCAGAACCUAGACCUCUGCCGAGAGCCUAGACCUUAACCGUUAAGAUAAUGGUGGAAUGAAGAAAUCUCCUUGAUGCUGGUCUCAGCCAGCUUUCUUCAGGUGUAGUAACUGCCAUUAGUGGCACGCAGCGAGAAUGUAGGAAGACAAGGAGCAGCUGCAAUCGCUGUAGGUGUAACAACGGCUCUGUCUGUGUGGAUGGGGGUCCCAGCCUGAACUUGAAGUAUGUCCACCCUCUCCCACCGCUGGGUUGUCAGGAGACCGCGGGAGUCUGGCUUGGAACAAGCCCCGUGUCCCGAACGUGCCCAGACACGUGGGGCAGUGAGUGCCACCCGCUGCGGAACGUCAGUGCACGUGAUGACGCGGCUGUCUGCGUAACGUGGGCAUGAAGGAGAGAGGUUUUUCUUUUACUUUCUUCAGUCGACCCUUAAUAUGCAUAGUCGUCUCUGUGUUGCCAAAAGUUUAGAAAUUACAAAAAGCUGCGGGACAGAAAAUGAGCUCCUGGUUGGCCCGGUGUCCUUAAUGUCGCAGCCUGAUGCGUUAACCCUGUAUUCUGUCCUUUUACUUCUGGAAUCGGGUGCUUGUUCCGCCGUCUGACGACUAAGAGUCGUUUUUAAAGUAUAAUAGUACAAGAAGACACAGACCAGAAGAAAGCAUUGCACAUGUGAUUUCCUGUUUAUAGAUUUGCAAAGUCCAUUAGGACACUGAUUAAAUGAUUAAUGGGGAAGUAUGAAACAUAUCUAAACAAUGUGCUCAUUAAAGUUUUUACAGAAACGCAUGGAACAGCUUGCUCCAAAGUGUGACUUGGAGGAAAACAUCCUACUGCACCCAUCUAUGCACACGCAGGACAAACCCGAGCUGACGAUGGGUGGAUGCCAUUGUUUGCAUCCAUCGAGAAAGAAGUAGCAGUGUUAACACUUCAUUUAAAGAUUUUUCCAAAAUAUAAUACUGGGAUGCUGAAUUUUUUAAAUGACAGCAUAUUACGUGUCAAAUUGUCCAAUAACACUUCAGUUUCUCUUUCUUUAUAACCUCACCCGCAAUUCUCUGUUUGGUUUUUCUACCAGAUUUUGGAAAUAAACAUGCAAGAAAUUCACCAAAAUUAAACCACCAUCGUUUUCCUCUUUCUCACCUCAAGCAGGUGCUGACUGCUUCCCUUUUUCUCAAUGUUUCUGGUAUGUGGAGUGAAGGGCUUUUGGAAUUUCAGUGUUUGGAGUUUUUUUCUCUAAAGCACAAAUUAAUCUUGUAUAAUCUGUCCAAGAAUUUCUAUAUGAUAGUUUCUAAUCUGAUUAAGAGUGUUUUAUGUAUGCACAGAUAAUUCAAAGAAAAUUAGUAGCGAAUACCCAUUAUCAAUAAAAUAAGAGAAGGACAAAUCUACGUUCCCCCCCCCACCCCACGUCAUCUAUAGCAAAUAUGGCAAAAAAGUUCUGUGAAGCCUUUAAGGAAGAAGAAAGAAAGAAAAAGAAAAGAAAUAGAUGAUUUCCAAGCUUAGAAGAUUUUUGACUUCGAUGAAGCUGUAAUAUAACUAGUUCAAGGGAACACAGAUUUAAAAGCAAUUUUAAAUGUUGGAAAACAAGCUGCGUUUCCAUGAGGCUGCCGUUGGAACAUUUACCGAUGCCAGUUCCUGCUUUUAGAGCACAUUGCGUCCUCCAUUACCAGCCCCUCAGGCGACCUGCUGCAGUCUACCUUAAGGUUCGUGCUAUUUCUUUUCCCCAGACCAAAAAGAAAAGAAAAAACUUGUUGCCAAAUGAAAAUUUUUAUUAGAUAUACUAUUCCCCAGCUAGUUUUUUUCUUGUUGCCCAAUUACGAGGAUAAACAAGUAAUUUCUUCCGGGUUCUGUGUCUGAAAUGCUUCCUCGUUGUGAAGAACAGAAAGACGCUUUGUCUGAAGUGCUUUUUAUCAUACAGAGACUCAUACAAAUGUAAGUCGACAUCAUUACCAAAAUCACUUGGUGAUAUGUAGUUUUUCCUUUGGUUUUAAUUUCUGUCUUUUAUCCCAUCAUUAUUUUCUAAAUAGUCAAAGCUGCUAUAUUGGAAUUAUAAUGUUAUUUGGUUAGGUUGAAAAUGUUAAACGUUUUUGGUUUUGCCUUUAGGUAAAACUAACAAAAUAUUCUACAUUGGAAAUUUUUACUCUAGAUUGAGGCUGGUGUGUUGAAAAAGAUUAGAAAACACAAUCUAACGAUCUCAUUUUCUAAGAAGUAGUUUUUCCCCUCAGUUUUCAGUGAUCAACCGGCUGCUUUUACUGUAGCUGUCAAAACGGCCAUGGAAGUAAAACGCCGUAGCGUGCGGGCGUCACGCAUAAAUCUCGUCUUAUACUUUCCGGCUGUUCAAGCUGUGAUGAAAGUCAGAAGAAAGAAGUCGGUGGUCAUAGGAAAUGAUUUCUUUUCUUCGUGUUUAUAAACAAAGAUGUCCUUCAGGAAACAGAGUGUGUGCAAAAGAUGGCAGAGAAAACAAGAACAAAUUGUGUCUGUUCUGUUUUUGGCCUGUGUCCCCUUCCUAGGGGGUCCUGUUUAUAGCAGUACUACAGCAAGGACACGUUUUAUAUAUUAAGCAUGUAAUCUGCAUGCCUAUCAAUUUUUUUCUGGUUUAUCAAAACACGUUUCAUACCAUGCAGACGCGCCUUACUCCUGACGUUUCGCCUGACUGUUGCUUCAGAGUUUCAUUACGAUAUCCUAACCUAAUUUUUAUCAUCAGCCUAAGUAAAAAUAAGAAGGGAAGAAGUAAACCCAUUUUUUAAAAAACAUAAUGCGUUACAAAUAAUAAAAAGGAUUUGGGGGUUCACAACAAUCCAUGUCCCUGGGAUGGACAAUUAUGGGGGCUCUCAGGUCACGAAUACUAACCAGAACAGAGACAUGUUCACAAAACAGACCAUUUCAUGGGGAGUUAUGGGUCCUUCGUGUAUCUUCUUCAGUUUUUGCUCAUCUGGAGGAGACUAGCAUGGAGGAGCCAACACCAGUAAGAGAAUGUUCUACAUCCGACACUGUAUCCCUUCCUCUGACCGCCCACUUUUCCUAAAUCUGGGCCAUUUUUGUUCUCUUCACCUUUAAAAACCCAUCAAGAUGAACUUACCUUAGAAUCCACAUCGAGCCUGAAGAGUUGCAGAAUAUGCCACCCCAAGAUAUGCCACUUGGUUAUUUUGAGCUAAAAGCACUAAAAAGCAGUAGACGCAAGAAGGCUGCUCAGAUCUCCCCUCUUCUCCCUGAAAGCAGGAGAUAAAGCUCCCACGUGAAAGAUGCGCCCCCUACUCCUGGAGGAAAGGGACGUUCUCGUCACCAGAGCCCAAGAGAAAUCUGUACAACAGACCUCGUUAAAUAACUCCCAACUUCCGUUAGUCUCCACGUGCAUCUCAGCUCCUUUUCCGCAGUCACCUCUCUCUGUCCAACCUAGUCCCUAAACUCAGACCCAGCCGCGUCUCUGGCGCUUCAUUCACCUGUGAAGGCUCCGUGUACGUGUAAAAAUAAAACCUGUAUACUUUCCUCCUGCUAA